CUCACGGGAACACUUUUUUCUAAGGUGACCUCGGAUCAGUAGAAUCGAGUCCU
rnacentral:rRNA from 1 species